rnacentral:rRNA from 1 species
UACGGAGGGUGCAAGCGUUAUCCGGAUUCACUGGGUUUAAAGGGCGCGUAGGGGGGUUGAUAAGUCAGUGGUGAAAUCCCCGAGCUUAACUUGGGAACUGCCAUUGAUACUAUUGAUCUUGAAUACCGUGGAGGUCAGCGGAAUAUGUCAUGUAGCGGUGAAAUGCUUAGAUAUGACAUAGAACACCAAUUGCGAAGGCAGCUGGCUACGCGAAUAUUGACACUGAUGCACGAAAGCGUGGGGAUCAAACAGG